rnacentral:tRNA from 1 species
GCCCUCGUAGCUCAACUGGACAGAGCAUCAGUCUUCGGAACUGAGGGUCGUGGGUUCGAAUCCCGCCGAGGGCA